AUGUGUACGGACAGUAGAGCCGUUAACAAGAUCACCGUAAGGUAUAGAUUCCCUAUUCCCCGUCUGGAUGAUAUGUUGGAUCAGCUUAGUGGAGCAAGAGUGUUCACAAAGCUAGAUUUAAGAAGUGGAUAUCAUCAAAUCUGUAUAAGACCCGGGGAUGAAUGGAAGACCGCCUUCAAGACAAAGGAAGGGUUGUUUGAAUGGCUAGUCAUGCCAUUUGGAUUCUCAAAUGCACCAAGUACCUUUAUGCACUUAAUGAAUCAAGUCCUUAGACCCCUUCUUAUCCCACUUUGUUGUGGUCUAUUUCGAUGA
rnacentral:rRNA from 1 species